GGCUGGACCAAAGGUAGUGAGUUAUCUCAAUUACAGUCAAUUACAGAUCGAACUCUUUGUUCUACCCUUUCCCCCUUCCUCACUACUGCACUUGACUAGUCUUAA
ensembl:misc_RNA Y_RNA Y RNA